GAUGAACGCUGGCGGCGUGCCUAAUACAUGCAAGUAGAGCGAACAGACGAGGAGCUUGCUCCUCUUACAUUAGCGGCGGACGGGUGAGUAACACGUGGAUAACCUACCUAUAAGCCUGGGAUAACUUCGGGAAACCGUAGCUAAUACCGGAUAACAAUUUGAACCGCAUGGUUUAAUAGUGAAAGACGGUUUUGCUGCCACAUAUAGAUGGCUUCGCGCCGCUUUAGCUAUAUGGUAAGGUACCGGCUUACCAAGGCGACGUUCCUAAGCCGACCUGAGAGGUGAACGGGCCAAACUGGAACGGGACCACGCUCCAGACUCCUACGGAAGGAGGCGGAAGGGAUUCUUCGGCAAUGGGCGAAAGCCUGACGGGGCAACGCCGCGGGGUGGAUGAAGGUCUUCGAAUGGUAAACCUUGUUGAUUGGGGAGGAAGAAUGGUGGAGGUAACUGUGCACGUCUUGACGGUAGCUAAUCAGAAAGCCACGGCUAACUACGUG
rnacentral:rRNA from 1 species